AGCGAACGUUAGCGGCGGGCCUAACACAUGCAAGUCGAGCGAGAAGGGGGCUUCGGCCCUGAGUAAAGCGGCGGACGGGUGAGUAACACGUAGGUAAUCUUCCUUCGAGCGGGGGACAGCGGUCCGAAAGGACCGCUAAUACCGCGUACGUUCCCGAGGACCCUGGUCCUUGGGAGGAAAGCUAGGUCGCAAGAUGCGGCACUCGGAGAGGAGCCUGCGUCGCAUCAGCUAGUUGGUGGGGUAAUGGCCUACCAAGGCGAAGACGCGUAGCGGGUCUGAGAGGAUGAUCAGCCACACUGGGACUGAGACACGGCCCAGACUCCUACGGGAGGCAGCAGUGGGGAAUAUUGGACAAUGGGCGCAAGCCUGAUCCAGCCACGCCGCGUGAGUGAUGAAGGCCUUCGGGUCGUAAAGCUCUGUGGGGAGGGACGAACCGCUGCACGUGCAUAGCGUGCAGCAUGACGGUACCUCCUUAGCAAGCACCGGCUAACUUCGUGCCAGCCGCCGCCGUAA
rnacentral:rRNA from 1 species